UACGUAGGGGGGCAAGCGUUGUCCGGAUUUAUUGGGCGUAAAGAGCGUGUAGGCGGCUAUACAGGUCCGCUGUGAAAACUCGAGGCUCAACCUCGAGACGUCGGUGGAAACCGUAUGGCUAGAGUCCGGAAAGAGGAGAGUGGAAUUCCUGGUGUAGCGGUGAAAAUGCGUAGAUAUCAGGAGGAACACCGGUGGUGUAGACGGCUUACUGGACCAUAACUGACGUGAGACACGAAAAGCGUGGGGUAGC
rnacentral:rRNA from 1 species